GGUAGCCGGCCUGAGAGGGCGACCGGCCACACUGGGACUGAGACACGGCCCAGACUCCUACGGGAGGCAGCAGUGGGGAAUAUUGCACAAUGGGCGAAAGCCUGAUGCAGCGACGCCGCGUGAGGGAUGACGGCCUUCGGGUUGUAAACCUCUUUCAGCAGGGAAGAAGCGAAAGUGACGGUACCUGCAGAAGAAGCGCCGGCUAACUACGUGCCAGCAGCCGCGGUAAUACGUAGGGCGCAAGCGUUGUCCGGAAUUAUUGGGCGUAAAGAGCUCGUAGGCGGCUUGUCACGUCGGUUGUGAAAGCCCGGGGCUUAACCCCGGGUCUGCAGUCGAUACGGGCAGGCUAGAGUUCGGUAGGGGAGAUCGGAAUUCCUGGUGUAGCGGUGAAAUGCGCAGAUAUCAGGAGGAACACCGGUGGCGAAGGCGGAUCUCUGGGCCGAUACUGACGCUGAGGAGCGAAAGCGUGGGGAGCGAACAGGAUUAGAUACCCUGGUAGUCCACGCCGUAAACGGUGGGCACUAGGUGUGGGCAACAUUCCACGUUGUCCGUGCCGCAGCUAACGCAUUAAGUGCCCCGCCUGGGGGAGUACGGA
rnacentral:rRNA from 1 species